rnacentral:rRNA from 1 species
UACGUAGGGAGCAAGCGUUGUCCGGAAUUAUUGGGCGUAAAGGGCGCGUAGGCGGGAAUUUAAGUUAGAUGUGAAAACUGAGGGCUCAACUUUCAGAUUGCAUUUGAAACUGGAUUUCUUGAGGGCAGGAGAGGAAAGUGGAAUUCCUAGUGUAGCGGUGAAAUGCGUAGAAAUCAGGAGGAAUACCAGUGGCGAAGUCGGCUUUCUGGACUGACCCUGACGCUGAGGUGCGAAAGCGUGGGUAGCAAACAGGAUUAGAUACCCCUGUAGUCCCUGA